AUUGGGUCCGCCCAUCCGUCCUUCACUCUCCUCUCCUCUCCUCACCUCCAUAUCUCCAUGGCCAUGGAGCUUCUUCAGCUUCCUCCUUCUUUCAUAUAUAUACCAGGACCACCAGCUAGCUGGCUGUCUACAAAACAAGCAGGAAAGCUGCUAAGGCUAGCUGCAUAUAUACGAGGAAACCAGCGCAAGAUCCUUGCAUACUACUCCCACACCACACAUAGAUAGGACUAGGACUAGGAGUCGUCCGAUCCAUCCUGGAGCACUCUAUAUAUACACACACACCUAGGGUUUAAUUUGCUUGCUUUAUUAUCUGCUGCUUCUUCAUUCAUUCCCCACUCCCCAGUGGUCGUCGAUCUGAUUUGCCUGCUUUAUUUCUUCUUCUUCUUCACACCGAGCUAGCUAGCUAUCUUGCUUUAAUUUGCCUAGAACGAAUAGAUCCACCGUACUAGCUUCUUGCUCGAUCUGCAGCUUCUCGCUUGUGAGCCAAGAGCCCGGCCAGCAGUGUCGGCCGUGCAGUGGCACUCUCUCCAUCAACAAUCAACCCUCUCUCCGUCGACAUGUGGAAAGGUAGGUAGAGAUAGAUGGUGUGUGUAAUCCGGUUCCUUGGUUCUUGUGUUUCCGAUCUCCUCUAAUUAAUCGAUCUCUCUACCUGGCCAGCUCACUUCACCCAUGCUUGCAUCUAGCUGUUCCAAUCUGAUGCAUGAUAUAGAUGAUGCUUGCGGCCUCUUCUUCUUGAUUCAUAGGCUCAUCAUCUAUGCCUCUGUCAUGCACACACUCGUGUCUUUCUUCUUGAUGGAUACACGUACGGGGGGUUGGGUUGUUCACAUAUAUAGUAGUAUAGCUAGUUUAUUAGAUGCAGGUAUACAGAUCAUGAGGAAGCAAGAAAUUAUGCAAAACAGUCGGUGCUUGCAGGUGCAGCACCAUCAAGAUUCACAUCCCCAGCUCGAUCUGUGCAUGAUGAGAUGAGAAUCUUGAUGAUGCUGCAUCAGCAAACACUCACUUACAUCGAUCUCACCCCUGGACAAGCUGGACAGUGAAACCGGACUGAGCAAUCGAGUACUACUAAAAACUUGUCCUCAGCUCUUUAUGUUUUACUUUCAAUUACCUUGCUUAUAUUAAUUUUCUUUCACUUAAUUUAGUUAAUUACUGCUCUCUCUCUCUC
rnacentral:precursor_RNA from 1 species